AAUCUUAUAGUUUAAUUAAAACAUUAAAUUGCAAAUUUAAUAAUGAAUUUUAUUCUAAGAUUU
rnacentral:tRNA from 1 species